UGGGAAAUAAUGUCAUCUAUGAUAUGUGCGAAAAGAGUAAAAUUUUGACAGGUUAAGAAACCGGGAAGGUAAGGACCAGCACUGGAACCAUCAAGGAGCAUCAGCGAAUCGGCACAGUUGCAGAUUUGACUUCAUUGUCGGCAUGAAGACUGCGUAUACGUGUAAAGCAGGACAUAUAUAUCAGGUACUUAUUUACCGAAAUACAUUAUUCAAGCUUUUAGAAAAAGUUCAGAUUUUUUCUGCGUCAAUUAUCGUGAUUCUGCAAUAAGGAACCUGUAUAAACUUAGUGGGCAGUGAAACGAUUCUUUAGCAGAGACGGUUGUCUAAAGUCAAAGACGAAAAUUUAUUAAUUACAGGGUAACCCCCGUAUGACCCGAUGAAGGGCCAAGGCAUACGUGAAUUUUGUUGUGAAAUGUCAGACGAGAAGAUUGGGUUGCCCUGGUCCACGGUACAGAUCCAUGCCCAGUUCAUACUGAUCAGGUUGAAGUGCCCAGCUCAUACUGAUAGAUCAGGUUGGAGUAUAACCGUGGCCAACAGACACACGUGACAUUUUCUCAAAGUCGUUCCAGACUUCUCAGCUGAGACUAGUUUUAUAUACUGAAACCACAAUUCUCAUUGCCUGGAGUUUAAAUAACGGCUUUCGGGGUCUAUUUGUUCAUGUGCAGCUGUAAUAGAUUAACUUUUAGCCACCCAAAUAUACUCGUAAACAAACUAAUUUGUUAGCUACUGAAGUGUACACACGAAUAACAUAGUUGGUCACGGAACACCGAUUAAGUUCUGUACGACGUCUAAUUUUCUAAGUAUUGUUUGGAAACGAGAUACAGGUGUUCCUGGAACAUCUCGGUCUUGUCCGCUCAGGAGCCGCCCGAACAUCCCCCCCAAGCCGAUGAUUUCAUAUUUCCCUGAAGGAAAACAAUGCUACUCCGACCUACACUUGGUAUUUCAAGAAUAAGUUUCCCUCGGCUAACGAAGGCAAAAUUGAAACGGAAACCAGAUAAUGUUAAACGAAGCUUUCGGAUAAGAGAUGAAAUGAGCAAAAAAAUGUUAACAUGCUGAAGUACUAGUUGGCAAGAAUUGAAGAAAUUAGGAAUGAUUUGGCAUCGAUGCAGCUCGUGACUAGGGGACAGCUUUUUCUGCCAAGAUUACGUGAAACCUUCUUAACUUUUCCUAGUUAAUAACCAUAUUUUGACGGGACACAAUAGGAAAACGAAUGCCCAA